CACAGAUUCCCAGGUUGGAAGGAUAAAAGGGUGAAUUCAGCACCUAAAGCCAGAUGGAAUUGUGCCUUCCCUGAGCUCAGAACAAAACCAUCAAUAAAUAAAAGAGUACAGCAAGCUAAAUGACAUUGACCUUGAACACAAAAGAAGUCCUAAAGCACACAUCAGCUUUAUCUAAAAUGGAAAGCUGCAGAACAACUGUCUCUGAAGACAUUUAUCUUAACUUGGCAAGAGCACAGCAUCACAGGAAAGGAUGCUCGGUGUCAGAAGUCGCAUAAAGUUAUGGAAUAUCUCAGAGGCAAGAAAGGUGCCAAUAAAAAAAUACAUACAUAAUGAAGAUUAAAAGUUUCAAGAUGGAAAAACAAGAGAAGCAAAGUAAAAAUAUAAUUCCACAAUAAAUAAUUUGAUUUUUAAACUUCA